rnacentral:rRNA from 1 species
AUUGAAAGCUGGCGGCAGGCCUAACACAUGCAAGUCGAACGAGUGGCGGACGGGUGAGUAAUGUCUGGGAAACUGCCCGAUGGAGGGGGAUAACUACCGGAAACGGGAGCUAAUACCGCAUACCAUCGGAUGUGCCCCGGUGGGAUUAGCUUGUAGGUGAGGUAACGGCUCACCUAGGCGACGAUCCCUAGCGGGUCUGAGAGGAUGACCAGCCACACUGGAACUGAGACACGGUCCAGACUCCUACGGUAGGCAGCAGUUGUUAAUAUUGCACAAUGGGCGCAAGCCUUAUGCAUCCAUGCCGCGUGUAUGAAGAAGGCCUUCGGGUUGUAAAGUACUUUCAGCGGGUAGGCGUUAACCGCAGAAGAAGCACCGGCUAACUCCGUGCCAGCAGCCGCGGUAAUUG